GCCGGUCACGUGGGCACCCCCCCUUCCCGCCGCUGCGCGGUGCGCGCUGGGAGCUCGGGGGCGGCCGUGCCAGGAGGUCGCGCGUUCCGUCGUUAUGGGUCGUAAGAAGAAGAAGCAGCUGAAGCCUUGGUGCUGGUAUUGUAACAGGGAUUUUGAUGAUGAAAAAAUCCUUAUACAGCAUCAAAAAGCAAAGCACUUUAAAUGCCAUAUAUGUCAUAAGAAAUUGUAUACAGGACCUGGUUUAGCUAUACAUUGCAUGCAGGUACAUAAAGAAACAAUAGACGCUGUUCCAAAUGCUAUUCCUGGAAGAACAGACAUUGAACUGGAAAUCUAUGGCAUGGAGGGCAUUCCAGAAAAAGAUAUGGAGGAACGGAGGAGGUUACUUGAACAAAAAACUCAGGCAGAAAGCCAGAAGAAGAAGCAACAAGAUGAUUCUGAUGAGUACGAAGAUGAUGAAUCUGCAGCUUCAACUUCAUUUCAGCCCCAACAAGUCCAGCCACAGCAGGGGUACAUUCCCCCAAUGGCACAGCCAGGUUUGCCUCCUGUGCCAGGUGCGCCAGGGAUGCCUCCUGGUAUACCACCAUUAAUGGCAGGUGUCCCACCUAUGAUGCCUGGAAUGCCUCCAGUUAUGCCUGGAAUGCCACCCGGAUUACAUCAACAAAGAAAAUACAUGCAGUCAUUUUGUGGUGGAAACAUGAUGAUGCCAAUGGGUGGGAUGAUGCCUCCUGGGCCAGGAAUACCACCUCUAAUGCCUGGUAUGCCACCAGGUAUGCCGCCGCCUGUUGGUCCUCGUCCUGGGAUGCCUCCUAUGACACAAGCGCAGCCUGCUGCAGCACCGGGCAUUCUUAACAGGCCUCCAGCUCCUGCUGCAUCGGCACCUACCCCUCAGCCUCCAGUUACUAAACCACUCUUCCCAAGUGCAGGGCAGAUGGGGACACCUGUCACAAGCUCAAGUACAGCUUCCUCCAAUUCAGAAAGUCUGUCAGCGUCUUCUAACGCUCUGUUUCCUAGCACAGCACAAGCUGCAGCAGCUGUUCAAGGUCCAGUUGGUACUGAUUUCAAACCUUUGAAUUCUACAGCUGCAACAACAGAACCCCCCAAACCUACAUUCCCUGCUUACACACAGUCUACAGCCUCAACCACUAGCACGACAAACAGUACUGCAGCUAAACCAGCUACAUCUAUAACAAGUAAGCCUGCUACCCUUACCACAACCAGUGCAACCAGUAAGUUGAUCCAUCCAGAUGAGGAUAUAUCACUGGAAGAGAGAAGGGCACAGUUGCCGAAGUAUCAGCGUAAUCUUCCUCGUCCGGGACAAGCUUCCUUGGGUAAUCCACCCGUUGGACCAAUUGGAGGUAUGAUGCCACCACAGCCUGGAAUUCCUCCGCAGCAACAAGGAAUGAGACCUCCAAUGCCACCACACGGUCAGUAUGGUGCUCAUCACCAGGGCAUGCCAGGCUAUCUUCCUGGAGCAAUGCCUCCUUAUGGUCAGGGACCUCCGAUGGUGCCCCCGUACCAGAGUGGACCUCCUCGACCUCCAAUGGGAAUGAGACCUCCUGUCAUGUCGCAAGGUGGCCGCUACUGAUGCUACUACACACGCUCUAAUAGGUUUUUAGAAGUGAAGUAUAGUAAAUAUGGUUCGUUAAAUUGUGAAGGCGCUGGAAUUACAUGAACAUACCACCUUAAAGCCCUGCCAUAGGACAGGCUGAGGCAGAGUCUCAGUGUUGCCCUGUUCAGUCUGAGGCAAGUGGGAUUUAUUUUAUUCGUUCUGGGGGCUUUCACAGCUUUAUGGCUGUUGGAUAUUUAUGUCCCCAAACUUGCAGCAAGUUUGGUGAAGGCCCCUACAUUUAUUUUAAUUUAGGUUUUUAAUUCUCUUUUGGUAGAUGGGCUCUAUAUUAAUAUUUAUCUUUUUAUUAUCACUGUGUUUUUAAGUCUUAGGGGGAGGGAACGCGUUUUGAGAGCUUUGGGUGCUGUUUCUGUUACAGAACAUGCUUCCUUCGUGACUGGUCAGGGAGUCCUUCAGCCACUCUGUACCCCUGCCCUCUUCCCCUGUGUUUUAUUUGUGCUGUAUUUGUUCUGCUUUUGGUAAUGUGACUUUUUACAUGCUACUAGUUCAAAAACUACAGAUGAACUACUAAUUUUUCUUCUGGGAAGGUGUAUUUAACAAAGUGCUUAAAAUACGUAGGUUUUAAGUAAUAAGUGACGUUCCUCGUCACACAGGCUUGCAGCCUAAAUUACAGUUGCUAUGGAGGAGGACAUUGACUGCUGUAUUUGUAAGCUGCACCACAACAAAUAUUAAUGUAGAGCCCUGUGAAGAACUAGAGAUUCCAGUCGAUAGAACAGAAGAAUGAGAAAUGAAAGUUCUUCCAGUUUGUCAGUUUUGGGAAAAUCUUUUCAUAGAUCACUUAAAUACACUGAACUUCACAGUAACUUGUCUGUUACAACAGUGUACUGGAAAAAAAUCAUCUUAUUUUCUGGAAACCUUGUGGAUUUGUUGCAUAUCCAAAAUUUGCUUAAGGUUAUGGCUGUCUGAAUUUACUACUUUUGCAGAAUAGCUGGCAAAAACUUCCACCCACUGUGAAGAAAAACGAGCUUUGCUGUUGCUGCUCACUUGGAGUUUGUUGGUUUUGAAUGCUUGAGGUAGAUUAAAGAAAGCUUGAGCUUCAGAAGAGCGAGUUUGGUCCAAGGAAGUUUUAAAUUUUUUUUGGAGCACAAUAUGUGUUUCAUUUCUUCAAGAGUGUGAUCAAUAAUGACCCACUUGGAGAUUUUCAGUAAGUUGAAUUAAAGGAUAAAGAGUGGAUUUCCCAUUCCUGUUGUACUCUGCCCUUUGCGUUUUCCCUUUGGGGGGGCCCCCAGUAGUCUCCUCUUACUGGAAAAUUGACAUGUCCUCUGCUCACUGUUUAAAGGAAUUACUGAUUUCCUUAUUGUGGUGCUACGCUUGAGAACAAUGCUUCUGAGAACAACUACCCCAACUAGUUGUUAUUUCACAUAUUCAGGCUCUAGGAGCAUUUGGCUUAGUUCUUAUUUCUGCAGAGUAUCUAAAGAAGCCAUUUAACUAAGUACUUAGCAUGACUUCUUUGUAUCCGAAUCUCUGAAAGACUCGAGAUGAAAAAUGCCAAAUUUUGGAUGCAUAGUGUUGAAUUUUGUCGUCAGUAUCCAUUUAAGAAUGAUGCAGCAUGGGGUAGAUUUAUGCAGCUACUUGUAUUUAGCUUCUAUCACACACGUAGCUGAAGUUCACACAAAUGCUGUUUGUAAUGCAGUGCCCUACUUAGAUACACAUUGGGCUGCAUCUAGUACAUUGAUAUUCUGGUGAGAACUGAAUGUUCUCAAAACAAUUUUUUGUUUUUAUUGGAGAAAAGUAGAUUUAUAUGUUCAUGGAAAGUAUGUCUCUGGGAUGCAGUUCCUGUUUCCCUUGUUGAUGAUCAAGCUGUGUGCACUGAUACUUAAGAGCAGAUGAGCCAUUUCUUUGUAUUUUUGCAUGGUUUCUCAUAACACAUGACACUUCACAGCAUCACAGUAGUAUGGAGUUUUUUUUCCUUAAAGCUGCUUUUGGAAAGUUUCAAGAAAUUGAAUUUCACACUGCUUCUGAAAGAUGCAUUUGGCUGCAGGAUAAUUCCAUGUCAGCACUGUUACUCUGUGAUAGCACUGUAUGAAUUAAGGCUUUUCGCUCUAGGUUUUUCCUCUAGUUCACACAUUCUUUGCUUCUAUCCUUUAAGUUGCUGUCCCUUUCUGUAAGUGUCUGAGGAUUGGACAGGCCCUUUUUUCCCUGUUUGGGUGUUGGUGUCUUUAGCAGGUUAUAUCCUGUUACUCUGACCUGUUACCACAGACUAAUGUUUGUGCUUAAAUUUGCAGCAACUAAUGAUGUGCAUUUUCCGUUUGCUCUGUGCCUCGUCCUGAAAGGUAUGUGUGCAGAGUACCGCUGUCUUUCUAGUCCAAGGGAUGGCAUGAUGGCUCUAUGCUGAAAGGGUGGAAGUAUCUGCUCAGCUGUUGGACUAGCUGCCCUGUCAUCUCUUUAAACCAACCUGGAAAGUUCCCAUGGAUGGCAGAGCGUUCCCAUCUUGUUCUUUUGGUGAAGCCCGGUUGGUGACCUCCUUCCUGCCUCAUGUGGAUUUGAGGAGGAUAGUUCCAAAAGAAACUUACGCUGUAAACAAGAUAGAUCUAUGUUGAGGGCUGGUGGUGUUUUCACUGGCACUCCAGUUGCAGCAGUGUCACAAAGCUGUGUAACACGCUGUUUGGGGAAUUCCAUUUCUAAUGAUUGUCAUGUUUUAGUGAAUUGACUUUCAUAGGUAGUAGUGAAAGCAGGUUUUGGAGAGCUUGGUUUUGUUUAAGAUUGAGGUACAUGACUCUUCUUAAAAAUUAGGAAUGACUGAAAUUCUGCAGAAUGAGUGAAUUUUAACCCACUGGUCCUGAAAAGAGGAAUGAAGGAGAGAUGUAGGAAAGUACAUAGCACUGCUGGAGUUCUGGCGGGCUUUAGAAUUGCUCUGUGCCAUGUUUGAUAACUGCAGUGGCCCUUAGUACUCUGAGGGACAGGCUACCUCCAAACUGAUUUCUAAAAGUGUGCAUAUGCUUGCAGUCAAGAUAAUUCUCCCAGUGAAAUGCUGGCAGUCCCUUCAGAAAUGGAGUGAUCGGGACUGCUGGGACUUCCAGUCAGAAGCAAGCGAGGUGGACGUGAGUUUGGGAGUGAAAAGGGAGGGCUGUGUCGGAGGCAGCCCUGGAGGGGAUGGGGAGUGCAUUGAGUGACUGAAGUGUAAUGUAUAGAGCUGAUUUGUUUGGGAAGUUCUGAAAGAACUUUUUGAUAAUUUUCUUAGAUUCUCAUUUUAAACAGCAGCUUUAUGCAAUCUUUUGAUUAUCAGAGAAUGCAGAUUUUUAUGAAGACUCUACAGGAAAAAAAGACAGAAUUCUAGUACAGUAUUCAGAGAUUCUGUUGUAUAGUGAAUGCACUUCUACUCCAGGCACCUCAGCGUGCUGCGUCUGCAGCCAGGCACACCCUGCCCUGAGCUGUGUGCUGCAGGGUGAUAUCCUUCAGUGCUUUGUUCUCAGCAUCCUGAUGAGUCUGUGGUGACUGUCGGUGAGGACUUGCAUUUAUGCAUCGGAUCUGUGUUGUGAGUAAUAAUGCACCUUGUCCCUUUGGAACAAAUUUACGCUGACUUGUUCUGUUGUUUUAGGCUCACCUGCAGUAGUACCACUCAGCAGCACUGCCACUUCCAUAGUGAAAACUUCUCCACAGAUAAGGCCUGAACGUACCUUACCACUCAUCUUUCUCAGGGAACUUAAAGCGUUUUGAGAAAACAGUAGAAUUUGGGUGCAAGUAACAUAUUAACUAAAAGCAAAUGAACACUAAACACUGAGAGGUUGAAGGUUUCCUAAAAAAAAAUCUUGUCAUGUUGGCAGUUGCAGCGUGUCUGUUAGGUAACGACCCUACACCAGAUGCAAAUUUGAGAUGCCUCAAAUUUUAUCUUAAAUCUUCCCUCCAUCUUUAACCACAUUCCCAGGUUCUUUUUAAAGAGGGUAGGUGUCGAAUUUCAACUUCUGCUGCCUUAAGUAAUCAAUAUCUAUAAAUGGUUUUAGCUGGUGGCAACUUAGAAUUACCCAAAACGCGUGCCAUGUACAGCCAUGGAAACUGUUUCAGUGUCCCAACUUAGGGAAGUGUAUAACGCUUUGAAGUAAAGAUGUCAUGCAAAGCUGCUUGCUUUCUUUUUGUCCCCCCGUUGUGUUGUAGAAGUGUGAUACUUGCAAGCACUGACUUCUUUAGCGUCUAGUUGAAGAAAAUACAUUUUGCUUUUUCAUUUGUAAAGUCUAGAAUAAGAAAACACUUUAUGAGAGUAUUUAAUGAAGGACCCUGGCGAUGUAAGUAUUGUAAUUUCCUUGAUAUUUGUGUUAGGCAACGGGGUUACCUUGUUAAACUUCUGGCUUGUGUAUCAAAAUAACAGAAAUGGAAGGGCAAAUUAAAAGCAAUUUUAUAGUUGCCUUCACUUCAUACGCUUUUCCUAAGUGAUAAUUUACAGUAAUUGAAGUUUGGCAGCUUUUUUUAAUUGAAAAACUAAAUUAUGGGUUAAACUCCUUGGUUUAAUACAAUUUGUGUUUUUGUCAACUAGCAGCAGAAUUUCAGCAUUUGCUACUUACUGGUAGAGAAGAAAUAUCCUACAGCACUGCCAGUACAGGUUAGUUUAAUCUGUAAGUACCUGAUGUUCCUGUUUGAAAUGAUAUGUUCAAAUGAUACCAUUUAAAUACAAAGGGAAUUUUGAUCUCUGAAAUGUCACUGUGUCGUUGUUACCUACUGCUGUGCUCAGGACUGAGUGAAUAUCUAGAUCAUCUUCUCAUGGUCUCUAAUGAUUUUAACUAUGCUUGUGGAUUAGGUAAUACGUGCAAGCAUUUCUAAUGGAAGUUUGAAUAGAACCUUAGCAAGUUGCCUUUGGUGUCUAAAGACCUAAAGUCAGUCAGUUCUUCAGUAACGUGCCUGUUACAAAAGGCAGUUUUAUCAGCGAACCGAUUACAGGAGAUUUAUUUUGUGUUGGGGGAUAAGCAUUUCGGUUUGUAAGAAUGUGUAGCUGUAACUUAACCUUUCUUUAGCUGUUAUUACUGCUUUGUUAAGCCAGAAUGCCAGGAGCUGCUUGUGGGCUAGAAGCCAGAGAACUUACUUAAGCUUCAUGUACUUCAUCUCUGCAUAUCAGUGUGGGAGAUGAAAGUUUUCUGUGCUGUGGCACAUAGCAUAGAUUGACAGCUGGAUAAGCUGUGAAGCUCUGUGCCUUAACUUAUACUUGGUAAGUGAAUUAUCACACAGUGAACUUGAGGACCUUUUGAAACUAUUAGUGGUUAAUUACACAAGAAUGUGGUAAUGAAGUAGCCAGACAGAAACGUUAGUUUUACUGUCUCACAUGAAUGCUCUUCACUAGUUAGAAAUGAUGUGACACUUCAGAAGCAUCGCUUGUUUGGGGAUCUCAUCAAAGAAACGUGAGGUUUCAAGGGGAUUCUCAGUGCUUGUAGUAGUUGGACACGAAGCCCAUCUCCCGGCAUCUUCUCUGUGUGGGUUUUCAGCCAUUAACACUGAAUUGCUUUGUUUGCAAAAGUAGUGAUGUGUAAAUGUUCAUAAUUUUGCCGAGGUGUUUCUCCCUAGAGGGAAAACAUAAGUUGCAUAAUAAAAUUUAUAGUUUAUCUUUGCCUCUAUCUCCUAUAAGUUCAUGGCAUGUAUUAAUAGGAAUUCCUUGCUGGGAGGCUGUUAUCUUAACAGACUGUGCCUCUGUCUUCUGACUUCUGUGGUUGAUCCUCGUUUACUGAGCGCUGUAAUAAGUAUCAUACGCAAGAGUAAGUAACAGAUUGCUUUUGGAUGCUGGAUUACUAUUUGAAAUCUCAGUUCUGCCAGUGGGUGAACACUGACCUGCACUACUUGGCAGGCCCAGCCCCAGCUUGGCAAUGAGUGAGGUUCUCUACUGUCUCAUCAACAAAGUGUAUUUCUUCAGAGUAGAUCCUAGGGUGAGCUCUGGUAGGAUGUUAUCUUUCUGUAGAAUUAUUUUCUUUUGAGAUGGGACAAAACAAGAGGAGUCUGAGCAUUCAAAACCAAGUGGGUAGUCUUAUGUUGUAGCUCAGCUUCUGCUGCAGUUACAGCAGGUGUCUGAUGCAGUUCUGAAGUAGUUAGUGGGGAACAGGGAACCAGUUGGUGCUAUUUUCUUCAGACUUCUGCUUAAUGACUCCAGAUUGCCCCUUCAGAGACUUUAGUUACUGUGUAGCAAACUCAGACUCCUGCUUUUAGUUCCUUCCUAAGGUAAAGCACUGAAAUGCUUUCUGAAAUAUGUCCCCUUGCUGUAGUAGUACAGCUACAGAUGUUAAUCCGUCAGGAAUGUUUUUUUUGUUACUUGACCCAGCUUUUGUGUAAGUGGUAUGGAAGGGAUGGGAUUAAUGAUAAAUGGCAAAGUACUGACAUUGAAUUUGUUUUCAGUGAGAUUGGUAAGUAUGUGCAUCGCUUUAGUGCAUGCGAGUACCGGUUAUUGUAGCUUAAUUUUUAGAGCGUUCAGUUUACAAAGAAGAUUCAAAGAAAAUAUGGAGCUAACAUCAUUGGCAUCCCUUGGGAACCUUCUAUGCACUGUAUGUUUCAGGAAUAGAUAACUGCACCUACGUAUGUAUAUAUACCACCUUGUAACAGUCUCUGAUUAAACAUAAGUGAACCACUG